ensembl:lncRNA
CAAAACCCCACUGAAUGUUGGAGUAAUUUCAUCAUUAAACAGCAUACGGCUAUUCCCCAAUACACGGUACGAAUAGGAGAGAGAGGGGGGGGAGAGGGGUGAGGAUGGCUCAUGAGAGCAGAGCCAGAUUAUUCAAGCGUUCAUCCACCUGGAAGAAAGAAGACCCUUCUGCAAACCGACGGUCCAAAUCAGUGAUGGGCGGAUUUUAUCAACACUCAAAACACGCUGCUGAGGAGGCAGAAAGGUGAGGCUGCAUCUCCUCUCUGCUCCAAGGACAGAUGGACGGACAUCUAGAGGGAAAGAGAGGAAUUCAAUCACAUACGACAGAGUUCCACCCCCACCUCCCCC